UGGGGAAUAUUGGACAAUGGGCGCAAGCCUGAUCCAGCCAUGCCGCGUGAGUGAUGACGGCCCUAGGGUUGUAAAGCUCUUUUACCCGGGAAGAUAAUGACGGUACCGGGAGAAUAAGCCCCGGCUAACUUCGUGCCAGCAGCCGCGGUAAUACGAAGGGGGCUAGCGUUGUUCGGAUUAACUGGGCGUAAAGGGUGCGUAGGCGGGCUUUUAAGUCAGGGGUGAAAUCCCGAGGCUCAACCUCGGAACUGCCUUUGAUACUGGGUGUCUUGAGUCCGGGAGAGGUGAGUGGAACUGCGAGUGUAGAGGUGAAAUUCGUAGAUAUUCGCAAGAACACCAGUGGCGAAGGCGGCUCACUGGCCCGGAACUGACGCUGAGGCACGAAAGCGUGGGGAGCAAACAGGAUUAGAUACCCUGGUAGUCCACGCCUUAAACGAUGAAUGCUAGCCGUUGGUCAGCUUGCUGAUCCGUGGCGCCGUUAACACAUUAAGCAUUCCGCCUGGGGAGUACGGUCGCAAGAUU
rnacentral:rRNA from 1 species